GACGAACGCUGGCGGCGUGCUUAACACAUGCAAGUCGAACGGAAAGGCCCUGCUUUUAUGGGGUGCUCGAGUGGCGAACGGGUGAGUAACACGUGAGUAACCUGCCCUUGACUUUGGGAUAACUUCAGGAAACUGGGGCUAAUACCGGAUAGGAGCUCCUGCUGCAUGGUGGGGGUUGGAAAGUUUCGGCGGUUGGGGAUGGACUCGCGGCUUAUCAGCUUGUUGGUGGGGUAGUGGCUUACCAAGGCUUUGACGGGUAGCCGGCCUGAGAGGGUGACCGGCCACAUUGGGACUGAGAUACGGCCCAGACUCCUACGGGAGGCAGCAGUGGGGAAUAUAGCACAAUGGGCGGAAGCCUGAUGCAGCAACGCCGCGUGCGGGAUGACGGCCUUCGGGUUGUAAACCGCUUUCGCCUGUGACGAAGCGUGAGUGACGGUAAUGGGUAAAGAAGCACCGGCUAACUACGUG
rnacentral:rRNA from 1 species